rnacentral:rRNA from 1 species
UUUGGAAAGACCCACCACAGAAGGUAAUAGUCCUGUAUGUUAAACGAGAAGACUUCAGAUAUGAUCCAGAGUACCACGGGACACGUGAAACCCUGUGGGAAGCAGGAGGGACCACCCUCCAAGGCUAAAUACUACCUAGUGACCGAUAGCGUAUAGUACCGUGAGGGAAAGGUGAAAAGAACCCCGGGAGGGGAGUGAAAUAGAACCUGAAACCCUGCACUUACAAGCUGUGGAAGCACAUUUCUUGUGUGACCGCGUACUUUUUGUAGAACGGGCCAACGAGUUACGUUAAGUAGCAAGGUUAAGCACUUAAGGUGCGGAGCCGUAGCGAAAGCGAGUUUUAACUGAGCGUUCAGUUACUUGACGUAGACCCGAAACCGGGCGACCUACCCAUGAGCAGGAUGAAGCGAAAGUAAAAUUUCGUGGAGGUCCGAACCCACGAGCGUUGAAAAGCUCGGGGAUGACUUGUGGGUAGCGGUGAAAUUCCAAUCGAGCCCGGAGAUAGCUGGUUCUCCCCGAAAUAGCUUUAGGGCUAGCCUCAAGGUGAGAGAUACGGAGGUAGAGCACUGAAUGUCCUAGGGGGUAUUGCACCUACCGAAGACUAUCAAACUCCGAAUGCCGUCAUCUUAUACUUGGGAGUCAGACUGUGGGUGAUAAGAUUCAUAGUCGAAAGGGCAACAGCCCAGAUCGUCAGCUAAGGUCCCUAAAUGUAAGUUAAGUGGUAAAGGAUGUGGGAUUGCACAGACAACCAGGAUGUUGGCUUAGAAGCAGCCACUCAUUCAAAGAGUGCGUAAUAGCUCACUGGUCGAGUGAUCCUGCGCCGAAGAUUUCCGGGGCUAAAACUUACUACCGAAGCUACGGCAUCAGUAAUGAUGGGUAGGGGAGCUUCCCAUACGGGUUGAAGCAUGACCGUAAGGACAUGUGGACAGUAUGGGAGUGAGAAUGUUGGCAUGAGUAGCGAGAUGUGGGUGAGAAUCCCACAGGCCGUAAACCCAAGGUUUCCAGGGGAAGGUUCGUCCGCCCUGGGUUAGUCGGGACCUAAGCUGAGGCCGAAAGGCGUAGGUGAUGGACAACAGGUUGAUAUUCCUGUACUACCGAUAACCGUUUGAGAGAAGGGAUGACACAGUAGGAUAAGCUAAGCACACUGUUGGUUAUGUGUGCCCAAGCAUUGAGGCAGUCAAAGUAGGCAAAUCCGCUUUGAUAAUGCUGGGAUGUGAUGGGGAGCGAAAUUUAGUAGCGAAGUAGCUGAUUUCACACUGUCAAGAAAAGUCUCUAUCGAGGUUAAAGGUACCCGUACCGCAAACCGACACAGGUGGGUGAGGAGAGUAUCCUAAGGCCAGCGAGAGAACUGUUGUUAAGGAACUCGGCAAAAUGACCCCGUAACUUAGGGAUAAGGGGUGCCACCAUCAGGUGGCCGCAGAGAAUAGGCCCAAGCGACUGUUUACCAAAAACAUAGGUUUCUGCUAAGUCGCAAGACGAUGUAUAGGAGCUGACGCCUGCCCGGUGCUGGAAGGUUAAGGGGAUCUGUUAGAGCAAUCGAAGCAGUGAACUUAAGCCCCAGUAAACGGCGGCCGUAACUAUAACGGUCCUAAGGUAGCGAAAUUCCUUGUCGGGUAAGUUCCGACCCGCACGAAAGGCGUAACGAUUUGGGCACUGUCUCAACAACAGACUCGGUGAAAUUGUAAUUCCGGUGAAGAUGCCGGAUACCUGCGACAGGACGGAAAGACCCCAUGGAGCUUUACUGUAGCUUGACAUUGGGUCUUGGUACUACAUGUACAGGAUAGGUGGGAGGCUUUGAAACCAGGACGCCAGUUUUGGCGGAGCCAUCCUUGGGAUACCACCCUUGUAGUACUGGGACUCUAACCAUAGGCCAUGAAUCUGGUCUUGGGACACUGUCA